rnacentral:pre_miRNA from 11 species
UGCGCAAAAGCAGCUGCUUUUGCGCAAAAGCAGCUGCUUUUGCGCAAAAGCAGCUGCUUUUGCGCAAAAGCAGCUGCUUUUGCGCAA